rfam:Oryza glaberrima chromosome 1 Oglab01_0020_5, whole genome shotgun sequence.
AAUAAGCACAAUCAUGAGUUUUCGUAUUUAAUUUUGAUCGUUUGUCUUAUUUAAAAUUUUUUAUAAUUAAUAUUUUUAUUGCUAUUAGAUUAUAAACAUGAAUUGACUUAUGUUUUUUAAGUUUUCAAAAAAAAAUCAAAUAAGACGGACGAUUAAAGUUGGACACGGAAACUCAUAGUUGCAUUUAUU